CGGAUCGCGCGAGGCCCCGCCCCGCGGCCGGGCUGCGGGAAGGAGCGUGCGGAGGUGCGGACCGGACCGGGUGGGACUGGAGGGUUGUGGCUCUGCCCGGUGGUGACACAGGGAAAAUGCUGCUCGUCAGGUCACGAUGCCGCGUGCCUCCAGCCCUGAGGACCUGGCUGUGCCGGCCAGUCGUCUGGGACCCUCGGGCCUCUUCUUCAUCCGCUCCUUCCACCCUCCAGCCCGCCGUCCCAGGUACAUCCGUCUCAUCAGUUGUUCGCAGUCCAUCGAGAGGAGGCCACAAACAUGUCCAGAAAGUGGGACAGCAGGACGCACUGGGCUUGUCCUCAGGGCUCUUCCAUGAGAAGGUGGAAGAGCAUUCAACCGCCUAGAGAAGCCGAGAUAAGUGCUAUGCGGAAACCAAAGGUGCCAUGACAUUACGCCUGGGAGAAGGUAGGACUUGAACCCAUUAGAGGAUGCUCCGGCAGUUCACCCUGACGUGAAGGCCAAGGAGGAGUAAACAAGAUAGGAAGGGAAGAAUUGUUCAAGUAGAGAAAACAGCAUGUGCAGAAGCCCUGGGGCAGGACCUGAAGGAAGCUCUCGGAGGCUUGAGGUCAAACUAGCACUGCUACGACGACCUUGGUCUUUAUUCUAAAAGAAAGGAGAAGUCCUUGGAGGAAGUCUAGCAGAUCAGAGACAUCGUGAAGAUUGAAUGGUAAGAAGAUCGCUCUGGCCGCUGUCCGGAGAAUGGCUGGGAAGAGGGCCAGGUAGAGCCUGAUACAGCCAAUUUAGGCAAACUGAUGGUGGCAGGACAUCAGACAAGACCAUUUAGGAGGGUAUUGAGAGAGGACACCCAAGAAGGGUGAUGUCCAGGAGAACAAGGCUUUUCAAGGAGACCACAAGGAUACACCUACAGGGUCCUCUCCAAGGUACUCAGCUCUUGGGAAUUUGUAGACUUAACUUCCUGAAACUUGGAAAUUUCCACUUCUGUGAAAUCCUGUAGUUCUGUGGGGGCUGGAACAGCACCUCCCACUUCAUUCAACUGGCCAAUGAAAAAGGUAUCUAUGGGUUGGAACUUUUUGACUGGAGAUAAAAACGGAAAGAUCAAGCCUGUCGGGCAGCACUGCUAUUGGAAUUCUAGGCAGUAAGCUCCCAGCUGGUGAAUAAAGCCCUUCCUCUUAUAAACAUGGUGUUUGGGUACUCUUUCACUCCGUUGGGCCUCAUCUUCCUGCAACAGUACAGCAUGGACCAAACGGUGACAUUCUUGUGACACCUGAUACCUAUAAUUUACUUAAGAUAAGGGUUUGAAGAGGACUAGUGAGUGAAGGAGGCCUCACCUACAUUGAGGUCCUGCGCAGGUGAAAGGAUGUCUGACCCUGUCCUAUCUAUGUAAACAUAAACUUGUGAUUCAUUACUAGUAUGGAAUCCAACAGUGUUAAGUGCCAGAGGAAGAAAGAGAAUAGGAGAAAUAGCCAAAACCGGAGAGGAAGGCCACCGGAAUGCUGGCGUUUUGUUUUGUUUUUACCUUAAAUGAUGGGCAUGGACUUCGGUUAAAACUGAAAAUUAAAGAAUAGGGUGCUGGAGAAUUGAUGAGUAAAAUCUCUUCAGCACUAUAGGUUUUGUAUUACUACUGUUCCUAAGUUACAUUGCUUUUAUUUCAUUUUAUGAGAUGAGAACUGUGCAGUGUGAGACAGUGUAGGUGUCACCUAUCCUUAUGAAGAGUGGAGGAUGGUAUUGUCUGCUUCCUCUGAAGGUGAUUGGCAAGACCAAUUAACCUAUUCAGAAAGUCACACCACAAGGAUGGCUGCAGGAGAGCACAGGUGGGAAGAGUUAGCCGCUGUCCAGUUUCUCCUCAAGAUACCCCAUCUGGGAAGAGCAUGUGUGCAUCACUCACAGCAGACAGUAAGUAUGCUGAGUGAACAUGAGACUGUCAGGGCUCCAUGUCUGGGGAUGCCAUCUCCCCAAAGCACCGCUCCCACUCCCAUGCACAGGAUUAGAAAUGAUUCCUUGUUACCAGAAGGCUGAAAUAAUUCUUAUCUCUGUUAGAAGCUAUGUCUCUCUAGCCUCUAACGGUGCAGAGCAAGCCCCCCGUACGUGAUGCUGAGUUGCUUUAAUACAGCAAGUCCCGUCCUGUCUACUUGGUAGGUGAUACACACUCAAGUUUGAGAUGACCUGUUCCAGAACCAAGUGUCCCUGUUCUGCUUGUUUCUAUGUUCCUCUGCCCCACCCCGUGAUGUCACUUUGAAUGGGUCUGGAACAUUCCUUCUUCCUCUCACACCCAAGCACAGAGCCUUGCUCCCUGGGUGUCAUGGCCAGGCUGUUGACAGCUCCUGCCCCUCUACUCAUGUUGCCCUUUGUGUAAUCUUAUGAGUCUGUUCCCACAGUUGGUGGGUGCCUUUGGGACAGUGAUCUGUUUUACCCAUUCAUCUAUCUCCUGGACAGGCUGGGUCCCCUCCUUCAGAGAAACACUGAAGAGGGUAGUGGGUUCAGUUAUGGCCCUCAGAAGAUGUCCGGGGCCAUCAAACCUGUAAUCCCAGGGAAGGCUGAGGCACGUGGGUCACAUGAGGCCAAGAGUUUGAGACUGGCCUGGGGAACAUAACAAGACCCUGUCUCUACAAAAACAUAGUAUUCAGCCAGAUGUGGUGGCAUGUGUGUAGUCCCAGCUAUGUGGGAGGAUUCAUGGAGUGGGGGAUUCAACAUCGCAGUCAGCUACGAUGGUGCCACUGCAAAGGCCACCCUCUCAGCUCAUCAGAGACCUACCUCAAGGGCUGCCUGAGGCCAACCCCACCCAGGACUGUGCACGUGGCCCACACACUCAUCUGAAGUGCUCCCCUCGGGUACUGAUGAGAUACAGGGCUCCAGAGCAGCGGGCAGGACUAACCUGGUCUCCCUUGGACGACACCCUGAACCUGCGCUUCAU